ensembl:lncRNA
GGGCCCGGGGCGCCGGCCUCCCGUGUGUGCGUGGCAGGGGCCCGGGGUCUCCCGUGUGUGCGUGGCAGGGGCCCGGGCGCCGGUCUCCAGUGUGUGCCUGGCAGGGGCCCGGGGCGCUGGGACCAUCUUCUGCCGACUCCCAGGCCAGGAUGGGGAGCCCAGGUGGAAACCGCCUCUGUGCCCCAGGCCACAUCCCCGCUAGUGUUUAGUUUUGAUUUUCACUUUAUUUGAAAGACAAAGGAAUCUUGGAUGCACUGGCUCACUCCCGCGCUGGGCGGCCGCGGGCUCCCAGUUCCCGCGGUGGUCCUGGGAGACGGGACUGCCCCACUGCCCAGAGGAGAGCAGGCCCUUCACUCGGCGCCCCCAACCCCUCGGAAGACGCCGUCGGGAACCGUGAGGGGACCCCGACCAGCGGCGGGGAGACCCUCUGGGUGGCUGCCUGGCGCCGUCGGGCAGGGUCCGGAAGCUGACCUCCAGGCUCCGCCCCAGCCCUGCCCCGGGCCUUCCCGGGGGCACACCUGGCUGGGAGCGCUGCCUUCUGCUUCCGGGAGUGGUUCUAGGUCUUUCUAAGCCUGGGGGAGGGGAGGGCUGGCGGAGCCGGCGGCAGACCCGGGCGCUCACCGAGCCCGUGCGCGCUGCGCCCGCUACCGAGCGGCUGAGGGCCAGGAUUAGCGCCCCGUCCAGGGCACCCCAAGGUGCCCACCUCCUGGGGCGAUCGGGUGAAGAACCCGAAGUGCCCCGGCGCCCGCACGCGCACCCAGCUCGGCGCGGCCUCUCCCUCUGCAGGGCUCGGGACGGGGUGCUCCGGGGCACCAGAGGCCCCGCCGAGGGCGCGCUCGUCGCCGAACCCACUCCCGCUGUGCCGGACGCUAUGCGGCGCACGGUGCAAGCUCAUUUCAUGCACGAGGCCUCGCUCGCUAUCGGGCCUCGGCGCCGGAGCUAUGGAAACCCGGAGCCGCCACAGCUCGUACCCUGCGGACGCGGACGACAGCGAAGGGGCCGAGGAGGAGCCCAGCCCCUUUCGGGGCCGCUCGCGCUCGGCGCCCCCCAACCUCUGGGCUGCACAGCGCUACGGCCGCGAGCUCCGAAGGAUGAGCGACGAGUUCGAGGGCUCCGUCAAGGGACUGCCUCGCCCGAAGAGCGCGGGCACAGCGAUGCAGAUGAGGGAAAGCUCCAGCUGGACGCGCGUCAUCCAGUCUUGGUGGGAUCGCAAUUUGGGGAAAGGAGGCUCCGCCCCUUCCCAGUGACCUUCGGCCCCACAGUCCCGAAACCCAGUCCGCUGCCGUCGGCGGCGGCGGCCAUCUCGGGUGUGGGCGGAAGUCCCGCAGUCUGGACGCCCGAGCCCCUUCCGGUGCGUGCCGCAGCCGUCGGAGUCCCGGCGUUCCUCCGGAAGUGGCCCUGCGGCCCCGCCCGGCGCAGGUGGCGAGCCGGGGCUAACGGCUGCUCCGCCGGAACCUUCUCCCGCGGGGCGGCGCGGCCGACGCGCGCGCCCCAGGGCGCCAAUAAAGCCAGCCUCUGUGCUAAAAAAAAAAAAAAACAAAACUAAAAAAAGCAAAGCAAGCACUCGAUUGGCGGAGAGCGGGCCCGCUAGGAGGCGGCUUCCUCGGGAGGAAGCGGGAGGAAGCGGGAGCGGAGAGCCGGCCUCGGGUGCCAGCCUGCCCUGCCCGCACCGGCGGCCUCCGGGCUGGCCAGCACGCCGGACUUCCGCCCUGGGCCUCAGUGCGCUCAUCUGUGAAACAGGCACAGCUCUCCCUCCUGCCGGGUCCGCACGCCCGCCUUGGCCGGUUCUGAGCUGGCCCGGCCCGCACCGCCAGCCCCCGCGCGGCCGAGCUGCCCAGCGGAAGGAGCUGGGUGCCUGGGUCACGCCAGGCCACAGGAAGGGGGGGCGGGGAAGGUUUCCUGAGCUGAGGCCGGGGCCUGGGGGAGGGAGGCGGGGACGGGGGAGGCCAGCGAGCCCCUGCCCGGGAGGAGCCCCUGCCCGGGAGGAGCGUCCCGGGGCUGACCUGCACCCCGCCAGCACCCACAGCCCCCAGAAAGCGCAGAGGCAGAGCUGGGGCCCCAAGCACGCUGCACAAGGGUCCCUGAAAUGCACGUUUAUUCGCGAAGAGUCCCCAGGGACUAAAGAAAGCCCGGGAGCCCCCCAGCGCCCACCUGCGGGACCAGGCCCCUCCCAGGGUGAGGCUGGGGGAGGAGUCCAGUGGAGCCCCUGAGCAGGAAGGAAGGGAGUUAGUGUGGGAUGCUUGCCCAGGGCUUAAAAAAAUAAAAUUUCUAAAGAUAAAAAGGUUUUUUGUUUU